GACGAACGCUGGCGGCGUGCCUAAUACAUGCAAGUAGAACGCUGAAGGAGGAGCUUGCUCUUCUGGAUGAGUUGCGAACGGGUGAGUAACGCGUAGGUAACCUGCCUGGUAGCGGGGGAUAACUAUUGGAAACGAUAGCUAAUACCGCAUAAGAGUAGAUGUUGCAUGACAUUUACUUAAAAGGUGCAAUUGCAUCACUACCAGAUGGACCUGCGUUGUAUUAGCUAGUUGGUGGGGUAACGGCUUACCAAGGCGACGAUACAUAGCCGACCUGAGAGGGUGAUCGGCCACACUGGGACUGGGACACGGCCCAGGCUCCUACGGGAGGCAGCAGUAGGGAAUCUUCGGCAAUGGACGGAAGUCUGACCGAGCAACGCCGCGUGAGUGAAGAAGGUUUUCGGAUCGUAAAGCUCUGUUGUAAGAGAAGAACGAGUGUGAGAGUGGAAAGUUCACACUGUGACGGUAUCUUACCAGAAAGGGACGGCUAACUACGUG
rnacentral:rRNA from 1 species